UUACAGUGCAGUGGAAGAGAGAAAGUUAAAAGAGAAAUAAAAAAAGAAUUGGAAAGCCAAUGUCCAAUUAUUUACUAAAACAGAAUCCACUGGAGAGAAAUGCAAAGGCAGGUAAAAAGGCAAUCUCUUAACAUGAAAACUCACAACUGUAAAAUGAGAACCUAAACUAUACAGCGACAAACUCAGGAAAAAGUCUCCAGCUACUGCUGUCUCUCAGACUCUCACAGUAUGUGUAACCACUUCCUCCUCUGCACGGAAUCACCCCAGAAGAUCAACUCUACUAGAUCAUUUGAGGACAAUGAACAAAGUCUCAAGACUGAAUUCCCACAGAAAACAUUCUCAUGAAACCACCCAAUAUUCUGGUGAAGUUAAAGAAGGGCAUGUGUUCGGAGACAACCAGAAGCAGCAAUGCUCAAAACCACAAAACUCUGGAUUGCCGACUCUGCACAUCCUGGUUCCUCUAGAUACAGUUCAGUGGCACAUUCACAAAUAAACGUUUUCAAAAACUGCCCUCAGGCAGUUCUAGAGAAAUGCUUUGACUUGCCUAAUGGUAUAAUGUCAAGAAAGGAAGACGAGCACUGAUCAUUCAUACUCAUUAUUACAGUCACAGGGCACUGUCUGACUUGACAGAUACAGCCGAGCAGUUAAAAGGUUAUGGGAAUUUAAGUCCAUUAUGGUCAUACGAUUCUUAUGGACCCAGAGAUAUGAAAUUAAUCAGCCACAUGUGUAGGGACAAAGUUUGUCAUAAAUAGAUAUAAGUUAUCUGCAUGCUAAGAACUUAGUUACUUAACUCUGUUUCCUCAUGUUAAUAUAAACAUAAUUAUAGAAUGCAAAUGAAAUACUUAGCCUGGAGCCUAUUAUAUAGGAAGCACUCAAUAAUUUCAAACUAUUGAGUAUAUUAUUAGAUAGGCUCCAUAAUUAUUUAUUCCUUUUUCAACAGACAGUAUGAUCUAUUGAAAAUAAAGCCAAACUAGAUUUCUUUGACCCACUCCUUUUUCUGUUUGUAUUGUUGGCAAGUUGUUCUAAAUCAACUUGCCAACAUACUAUUAACAUGUUAUUAACAUAGAAGGGAUGCUUAUUUUGUUUGCUUUGUAAGAAAUGCUUCUGAUUCAGUAACUGGGCAAUUUAUUUAAAUAUAAGUAAAAAGCAGAUUUUAUUAAAAACUACUUUGUGCUAUCAUAAAUAACUCAUUGUUCUCUGUGAUUCAGAAGUGGAUUUAUUAUUCUUUUGGGGUUGGGGAAGGCACUGAGACUGGUUUCAGCACUGAUAUUUUGCUUUGGUCCACAGACAGUCCAAGUCUAAUGAGUUACUAAAGGAAAAUGACAUUUUACUGAACUGUUUUCUUCAUAAAUAUAACAGAAUGUAGGAAAAAUCAACAGUAAAACAGAUGUACCUAAAAUAUUAUUAUUCCUCAUGUAAGAAAACCAUCUUGAAA
rnacentral:lncRNA from 1 species